GUGUACUUGCUGUGCUCUCUGCUUACGAGGCUCUUCACCUAAAUCACAGCAAGGCCAACUGCUCCUUGUAACUGUGGAGCUUGGCUCAGAUGUCACUUCCUCAGAGAAUUCUUCUCUGACCGCUUGUUAAGAGUUGAAUUAUGACCUCCUCCCUCCCCCAAAGUAUGUUGAAAUCCUAAUCUCCAGUACUAUUGAAUGUAACUUUAUUUGGAAAUAAGGUCUUUGCAGAAGUAACCAAGUUAAGAUGAAUUCAUUAGAAUUGGCCCUAAUCUGAUGACUCAUGUGCCUAUAAGACAAGGGAAAUUUGGGCACACAGACACACAGAGGGAAGAGAGCCGUGUGAAGACGGAGGCUGAGGUUGGAGUUAUACUGUCACAGAAUACCCAAGCCAAGGAACGCCUGGGACUGCCAGAAGCUGGAAGAAGCAGGGAAAGAUCCUCCCCAGAGGCUGUAGAGGGAGCAUGGUCCUACCAACUCUUUGAUUUCAGGCCCCUAGUCUCCAGGACUGUGAGAGAAUAUAUUUCUAUCGUCUUACACCACCCAGUUUUUAGUGUUUUCUUAUAGUAGCCCUAGGAAACUAACAUACCCCUCUUCCUGAAGUAGCAUCCACAACCCCCUUGCCCUACCAUGUUGGUGUCUAUCCUGUUAUCCUGUUUUAUUGUCUUCAUAGCCGCUUAUGAAAUGCUCAUGGUCAUUCACGGGUUUCUGUGUUCAUUUUUCAUUUCGUGCUUAGCCUUGGCCUCGUUGUUUAAUUUUUUCCCCCAUGGACUGUAAGCUCCUAGAGAGCAAGGACCUUGUCUGUCAUUCUCGGUUGUGCUUGCAAAACACAUUUGUAAUAAUGAAUGGUCAGUGAGAAGAGGAGUAUCAAAGAGCGUGGUUUAUGCUCAUGUGGCUUUGCAGUGCUCCCUGGCCCUCUCUGGGCAGGUGGCUGGAUACCUGCCUUUGAACUUGGAGCAACACUAUUUUUGAAGUAGUAACCGUGGAUAUCUGAAAGGUGGAUUCUGAAAACUUAUUCAGUGCAGGUAACUUUGAGGCUGGUGCCUUAGAUCAAGGAGCCAAAGGUGGCAAGAACAGGGAUGAAAUUAUAUCGAAAGAAAAGUGGAAGAGCACUUUCUUAUCUCUUAGCUACUGGAUCUUCUGUGACACAAAAAUGCAGAUUGAGACUGACACGGAGGCCUUUGUCCCUUUGCCUCUGUACUUUAGUGUGGUAGGGUAAGUAGUAAUGACGAUGUUUCCCAUCCUUACUCAAUUCCUUCAUUUCUCCCCAGAGAAGCUCCUUGGAGUCUGUGAUCUCACAGAUAGAACUGAAUCACCCUCUGUAGAAAGAGCAACAGAAGUGGACAUCACGUGUGACCAUCAGACUUCAAAGAAGGUGCUAGCCUAAGAGUUUUGAGACUGGGAAUGAAGAGGUGAAAUUAAACUGGCCUUUCACCCCAGGAGUUCUCUCUGUAGACAAGUUAAGGCACAGUGACAGGUCUAGCCUGUGAAGAGCAUGGGGAAAAUCGGCACCGGUGAUAUGGUUUGAAUCAGAAUGCACCAUGUAUUUGUGCCUGCACAGAACAGGAAAGAACUGAACAGUUUGCAGACACCUGAAUAAGUGGCACAGCCUGGAUUCAAAGUUGCAAUUCAAAGCUAGAUCUGCCACAUUCUGUGCAGGCGAAGAUCACCCAAAGCAUGGAGAUGCAGGCCUGAGACCUUGUGUGCCUUCAAAGAGCUGACUGGUGAGAGAGGCUGGGAAGAGGCUGAAGUUUAAGUGCACCUGCCCGAUGUGUUCUGGUGGGAGCACACGCAAUCCAUCUCCUCUGCAGGUUGUCUGCGUCGUCCAGAGUUCUCCUAGAGACCAGUGCCUGUUAGCAGCAGGUAAUAAACGUGUGGAAGCAAAUGCUUUCAUUACCCCCGUUAUGAUGUGUCCCAGCAUUCCUCGGACAGCCCGACUUGCCUUUUAUGCCAGAGUAAUAUUUGCUCAUCUAAGAAGCUAGGCUCAAAGUACAAGGAGAAUUGAGAUGAAACUGGCAUGCAACACUGACACAAGAGCUUUGUGUGUCCACAGUACAGAGAAACCUCAUUGGUGUUAUAUUCUGCACAGCCCAGUUUGUUUA
ensembl:lncRNA